AAGCACUCUGCUUGGCAGAGUGCGGAUGAGUGGCGAACGGGUGAGUAACACGUGGAAAUCUGCCUAGGAGUGGGGGAUAACAUUCGGAAACGGAUGCUAAUACCGCAUAUCUUUUUGAACCGCAUGGUUCUUAAACGAAAGACGGCUUCGGCUGUCGCUCUUAGAUGAUCCCGCGGCGUAUUAGUUAGUUGGUGGGGUAAAGGCCUACCAAGACCAUGAUACGUAGCCGACCUGAGAGGGUGAUCGGCCACACUGGGACUGAGACACGGCCCAGACUCCUACGGGAGGCAGCAGUAGGGAAUCUUCCACAAUGGGUGAAAACCUGAUGGAGCAAUGCCGCGUGAAUGAAGAAGGUCUUCGGAUCGUAAAGUUCUGUUAUUAGAGAAGAACAAGUCAAGGAGUAACUGUCUUGACUUUGACGGUACCUAACCAGAAAGUCACGGCUAACUACGUG
rnacentral:rRNA from 1 species